CGGCGGGGACGCGCCCCAUCCGCGGCGUCUAAUGAGGCGCGGCCCCCCCAACCCCAACACGCACACCCCCGAGGCGGCGGCGGCGGCGGCGGCGUCCGGGAGGCUAAGCGGGUGCAGCUCCUGAAAUCCCAGGAUUUUUCUUGAAUGGGAUGAGAGAGCAGGGAGGAGGAUGCUCGGGCUCGCGGGCAGGCGGGGUCUCCUGAGGACCAGGGUUCGUCUGAGGAUAGGGGCUCCUGCCCGCGCCCUCAGGGUUAACCGCAAGCGGUCCCUGCCUGUGGAUGCUGCUAACCUUCCCUUGGGAUGGAGGAGCCCCUCUUGUUUCCGAUCAGUAUACCCGGAAACGAGUGAUUAAGAAGCGUCAAAAAUUAUCUAAAAUAACUGUUAGAAGGCAGGUGCUUAAACCCACUCUUGUCCUUUUUACGUUAAACCUUGUGGAUUUUGUCUGAGGAAAGAUCAGCAUUCCUCGCUGCCUGGCGAGUCUCUGCCACAAAAGAUCGUUCCCCCGAGCUUUUGGGUUUUGUCUGAUAAUCACAGGCACCGUCCCUAGCCCUAGUGUUUUCUCCUCGCCUUGUCUUCACCUUAAUUAGUAAGAGGCCAUCCAACGCCUUGAGUUUUUCGGGUUUUUUUUUUUUUUUUUGCUUGUUUUUUGUUUUUUGGAAAGGCUCAACUGUGAUGUUUUCAUCAUUUUCACUUUAUUUCUCGUUGCUACCUUUGCUCUAUUUAAAAUAGUCCCUCCUACUUUCUCUGUUUAGGGUUUGUUAGUAGUUGGGUGUUUAAUCUUAGGUCCUCAUUUUCUCCUGUGUGCACCUCUUGUUUUACAAGCUCCUCGGGUUUCCUGGUGUCAUUUUUCCUCUUUUCUCUGAAUUUCAACUAGUUAUUGUGUUAGAUAAAUAGCUUCUAUUAAUAUAUCUCAGGAAUCAAAUCCUUAUAAAAUGAUAAUUACUACCUCAAAUAGAAAUGCAGCUAAUCCAUCAUCAUUUCACAGCAUACUCAAGCAUCAGAAAAGAAAAAGAAAAAAAAAAAAAAGCCGGUUGGAAGGAGGAGCCAAGCCUUUUGUUUCAAGCCAGUUAAAUCAAAAAAGAAAGAAAUAUUAAAAAUAAUCAGCGUGAAUGGACAAAUGUCUCAGCACCUGAUCUUACCUAAAAUAGGUUUUCAUUAGCUACUGGUAUAAAAAGUAUUUCUUGAAAUCACCAAUAUUUUACAUCCUUAUUGUGAAUAAACUCCGUUUGAUUUUAUUCGCCCCUCCCUUUUUUCAUCAAGAUAAAUCAAGAAGGCUUUGAGGGACAGAUUUUAGCCAUAGUAAGAUCUCUGCUGAUCCUGUCUGCAACCAGAUAAAUCAGUAUCUAGAGACCUCAUUGUCUCAACCUCUGGCCUUCCCCUUUUUCCAUCACCUAGUGUCUUUGAGGAUCUAGUGGAAAUAAUACCCUCCCUCAUAAAAAAAGGUGCACAUAAGCACACCAAAAAAUUUUUUUGCACAAUUUAAGAAAGAUUAUUCUGGGAUCCCAGGUCUUCCACUAUCCUUUUUCAUCUCAAAAAGGGUUUGCCUUUCAUAAUUUUUAAAAAGAAUCUUUCAUUGACUUUUAAACAGAUUUAAAGAAAAAAGAAAAUAAGGAUUUCCCCCCAAGUGUGUGUGCCUAUUUAGUGACAACUAACAGGAGAAGCUUAGGUCUCUGCUGUUCUCCCAGACAACCUCCUUCCUCCCCCAUCCCCCAACCCUUUAGAGCAUGUUUGGUUUGAAUUUAAAAAGAAAAAUCUGCUUACUGUUAGAAGCAAGGUGGAUUCUUUGUCCACAACAGUUUUACAUUUGCAGAUCAACUUCAAGUUCAGGAGGUUACAUCCUGCCCAGAGUCUUUAUUCACAAGCACCUCUCUUCAGGACUGUGUAUGUUCAUGGAGGUUAUGAACGGAAAGGUGUCUAUUGUCCUAGUUCAAUUUAAUGAGAGGCACCAGAGCAUCAAGCCUUUGGGUGUUAGAGUUCAGUUUGCUGGAGUUUUCUCUGCCUGCUGAGGAGUUACCCUGAGGAUCAGUAAGUGGGAACCUAGUACCCUCUGCUCUGACUCACCCGUUGUAUAGCCAGGCUCUGGUUACCAGACCAACAUUUCACUUUUUACUAACAGCCACCAGACAGAGCAGAGUCCAGUAAUGGACCCAGCUUAGACUUUAGUGGAGACCUUCCCAUGGCCUUCCUCUUGUCUAUACCAUACCUUGGCAAAAACACACUCAACGGGGCUGGGGAUUUAGCUCAGUGGUAGAUCGCUUACCUAGGAAGCACAAGGCCCUGGGUUCGGUCCCCAGCUCCAGAAAAAAAGAACCAAAAAAAAAAAAAAAAAAAAAAAAACCACACACACACACACAACACAGACAGCUGUUUUUAAGAGACUAUUUGAAAAACAUGAUAUAAGGUGAGUGUUGGCAUCUUCUCAGAACAUCUAGCUCUUGCAAAUUAUGUUUUUCCCACGUACUUCUCUAACAAAAUGCUUUCCACACUAAGUGUUCUGUCUUAUAAGUAGUACUGGUGCUUCCAGUGUUACCCUAGCCAUUAAGAAAUAGCUCUGCCUCUUUGACGAUUAACUGGAAAUAAAGCAAUAGCCUCCUACUUCAGAUUCAAUGUGAGGAAGGGCGUUAACUACCCAGAAGUGAUUAUUACGGGUGGUGACUUUGGCCCUUUAGAAUGAAUUUACUUUUCAAAGCACACACACUUCAUUCAAAAAUUUGACUUUGGCUUAGCAGGAAAGCAGAAGCCAGAUGUGUUUACGGUGCUACUAAAUAGCUGUUCUGUUUCAAACAGACCUUGACUCUCUGUCCCUCUUUCCCUCAUUCAUAAAAUGGGAGGAAGAAACAGUGUAACAUCCUUCUCAGUUGUGUCUGCCACAGUGAUCUUUAAAGUCUUUAAGUGGAUUGUGGAUAACCUGGGAGAUGUUUGAAUACUUAACAUAUUCAGAGGAGUGUUCCUAAUGUAACGCUCAAUGUAACCAAGAAGUCACACUUCUUAGAGCACCAACUCUCUCAUUCAUAGCAGGUUACACAACAGUGUUGCUUUAGUUCGUAAAGGAAUCUUUUUCAGUUUCAGCAGCAUUAAAAUUGAAUGGAUGCUGAGAAACCUAUUUUAAAUUUGCUAAAACAGUUUCUCACUUCUAUCUAAAUCUUGUUGAGUAAACAGAACUUAGACAAUCCUUUAAAAUCCUUUUCACACCACGAACUAAUGGCUUAGUUAGAGUAUUUUAGGUCUUCUUCUUUCUUUUUCCUGCUCAUUUAGCUUCAUCUCCAUCGGUAAACAUUCAGUUUUGAAUGAAACAGAAAUCAAUGAGGCAGCUUCUGUCUCACAAUAACAAGUUAAAAUUAUAGCACUUGGUGGUGUCAACACAGCUUUAAACACUGGAAUACCAGCCAUAUUAACACAGUUCCCAAAAUAGCGCAGAAGUUUGCUGUUAAAGGAGGAAAAUUGUGCAUUUUAUUUCUGUGCGUUCGAUAGAAGCAUUUUUCUCUCCCUCAGCACAGCAAUUACAAAGGUUAGCAUUAUUUACACAAGUGUUAACACUGUCACCAUAUGUGGCAGUUCUGUUCCUCGUUCACAGCUUUGUUUCCAUUGUGUGAAUGAGAGGUGAGUUUGUUUCACUGUUCUUAAUGUGUUCCUUAAACUCUUAAUCAGGAUGGGGUUGUUCCUUCUCAGGGUUUCUCAGUGAAUGCUACCUGAUGUCGGUGGCAUUUUGUGACUUUAAAGAAGCAUUUUGAAAGGACAAAGCUUUAUUCAUGCAAAAGUAACUAAGACAGCACAUAGCUUGAACAUAAGAAUUCAAAUCGUAAAACUAGACGGAGAAAAACACAUCACAAACUAUAAAAUUGGCCAUUACACUUAAAUAAUUUAAAUUAGUGUUCAGGAGAAUUGAUUUUGUUCUAUUGACCCCAAGAGGGUGCCUAAAUUGUCUCCUCUGGGGUAAUAUUGUGCCUUAGAAAUGGUCUUUGAAACUCCGUCCAAGAAAAGUAUAUAAGAAAUCGUAAGACUUGAAGCCAAGAUUUUGCUACACAAUGCUUACUCUCAUCAAAAUUAUGCUAAAAGGUCAUCUGGCUUCUUGUGGUGUGUCACUGAGGAGGCACUAAGGCCUUCCAAGUUGAGCAAACCAAUCAGCACUUGGGCAGCUCUGUGUUUGGGAAGGAGGGGCAGCAACAAGAAGGGAAAUUCAAAAUGAGAAUAACCCAGAAUAAUGACUUUCUUCUUACUCAGUAAGAAGAGGAAAUCGCAGUCCAGUGGGUGAUAGAACCCUGGGGAUUACUAUACAACCAAGGUUAGAAUGUUCUAAGAGGCACAGGUCUUUAAAAAGUGUAACAGUUUGUAUCAAAAUGACCAGUGGAUGGAGGAGUUAGGAGAGGGAACAAGAAGGAGGAAGGUCCACUUUUAAUUUGGUUUUAAAUAAAUGUUUUUGAAAUAAUACUUAUUUUCUGGUAAGUAGUAUAACAGAUCUCCUGGGAUUUUUUUUUAUAGACUCACAAUCAAGUAUAUUUUCAAAUACAUGUUGGACAAAAGCACAAUGAUUUGGCUGCCAGUAUUUGCUUCCCUGCUCAACAUAAAGAUGACACCAGGAACAAGACUACUAGAAGUAACAGUUGAGCGUAGUUACUGGACAAGUGUGUUUGUGUACUGCAGUGACAACCAGACUGCUAGACCCUUUCCAUUAGACGGGCAAGUGCGUGUCAUUAUGCCAAUAGUUGGCUUGUAACUACAGCAUUCACCAUAAAGCCAAUGCUGGCUCCUCCAAUAGCCCAUCUCUGCAGAAAGUUGCACCUGGCAAAAGUAUUUUGAAAAAAAAAAAUCAUAGAUUUCUCUUCCAGGUGCAGUGGAGCAUACCUUUAAACCUUAGUCACUUGGGAGGCAGAGGCAAAGCCAGCCUGGUCUAUUCAACGAGCCCCUGUCUCAAAAAUAAACAAUCCCAGGUUCUGUUGGUAUUUUAUGUUCUAGAGAUUCCAAUUUAUACCACACAUGAACACUAUAAAA